UUCAAGGCCCAAAGUUCACGUCAACUUUGGCCACGACUCUCAAUGAGGAAAUGUCGCCUCUCAGGAUGAGAAAGCCUCUGGAACCACAGGAGCGACUGUGCAGAGUGACAGAGCACAGGGCAGACAAGCAAACCCACCAAGUUUUGUCAGCCCUCAGCCUGUACGUGCAUUGAGACAUCACAUCAGGUCCCAGCACAGACACGGGGCAGCUGGAAGAGGAGAGUGACCUCGGAGAGGAGUCGACCCAUUCCCGCCAAAGACAAUGUCUCUGGAAUUUCUAAGAUGAGGGAACGGAGGCCCAGAGCCGCUAAGCAACUUGCCCCGGGUCCCAGCGCGGCCUCUCAGAGCUGCCUGCAGCAGGUGGCACCUGGUCACAGGAGAGGACUUCUGCUCCAAGCCACCCCGCUGGAACCCAGGAGCCAGGACAGGGCCCCACCAUGACCAUCUCGC